GACGAACGCUGGCGGCGUGCUUAACACAUGCAAGUCGAACGGUAAGGCCCUUCGGGGUACACGAGUGGCGAACGGGUGAGUAACACGUGGGUGAUCUGCCCUGCACUUCGGGAUAAGCCUGGGAAACUGGGUCUAAUACCGGAUAGGACCACUGCCUGCAUGGGUGGUGGUGGAAAGCUUUUGCGGUGUGGGAUGGGCCCGCGGCCUAUCAGCUUGUUGGUGGGGUGAUGGCCUACCAAGGCGACGACGGGUAGCCGGCCUGAGAGGGUGACCGGCAACACUGGGACUGAGAUACGGCCCAGACUCCUACGGGAGGCAGCAGUGGGGAAUAUUGCACAAUGGGCGCAAGCCUGAUGCAGCGAUGCCGCGUGAGGGAUGACGGCCUUCGGGUUGUAAACCUCUUUCAGCACCGACGAAGCGCAAGUGACGGUAGGUGCAGAAGAAGGACCGGCCAACUACGUGCCAGCAGCCGCCGUAA
rnacentral:rRNA from 1 species